GGAGUCUGGGCCGUGUCUCAGUCCCAAUGUGGCCGUUCACCCUCUCAGGCCGGCUAUGGAUCGUCGCUUUGGUGGGCCGUUACCCCGCCAACUGGCUAAUCCAACGCGGAGCCAUCCUGUACCACCGGAGUUUUUCACACAGGGCCAUGCGGCCUCGUGCGCUUAUGCGGUAUUAGCAGCCGUUUCCGGCUGUUAUCCCCCGGUACAGGGCAGGUUCUCCACGCGUUACUCACCCGUCCGCCACUAAGCUUAAGCUUCUUUGACCGAAGUCUCUAAAAAAUAAGCUCCGUUCGACUUGCAUGUGUUAGGCACGCCGCCAGCGUUCAUC
rnacentral:rRNA from 1 species